UACGGAAGGCAGCAGGGGGGAAUAUUGCACAAUGGGCGCAAGCCUGAUGCAGCCAUGCCGCGUGUAUGAAAAAGGCCUUCGGGUUGUAAAGUACUUUCAGUCGUGAGGAAGGUGUUAAGGUUAAUAACCUUAGCAAUUGACGUUAGCGACAGAAGAAGCACCGGCUAACUCCGUGCCAGCAGCCGCGGGUAAUACGGAGGGUGCGAGCGUUAAUCGGAAUUACUGGGCGUAAAGGGCACGCAGGCGGUUAAUUAAGUUGGAUGUGAAAUCCCCGGGCUUAACCUGGGAAUGGCAUUCAAGACUGGUUAGCUAGAGUCUUGUAGAGGGGGUAGAAUUCCAUGUGUAGCGGUGAAAUGCGUAGAGAUGUGGAGGAAUACCGGUGGCGAAGGCGGCCCCUGGACAAAGACUGACGCUCAUGUGCGAAAGCGUGGGGAGCGAAACAGGAUUAGAUACC
rnacentral:rRNA from 1 species